rnacentral:rRNA from 1 species
AUUGAACGCUGGCGGCAGGCCUAACACAUGCAAGUCGAACGGUAACAGGAAACAGCUUGCUGUUUCGCUGACGAGUGGCGGACGGGUGAGUAAUGUCUGGGAAACUGCCUGAUGGAGGGGGAUAACUACUGGAAACGGUAGCUAAUACCGCAUAACGUCGCAAGACCAAAGAGGGGGACCCUCGGGCCUCUUGCCAUCGGAUGUGCCCAGAUGGGAUUAGCUUGUUGGUGGGGUAACGGCUCACCAAGGCGACGAUCCCUAGCUGGUCUGAGAGGAUGACCAGCCACACUGGAACUGAGACACGGUCCAGACUCCUACGGGAGGCAGCAGUGGGGAAUAUUGCACAAUGGGCGCAAGCCUGAUGCAGCCAUGCCGCGUGUAUGAAGAAGGCCUUCGGGUUGUAAAGUACUUUCAGCGGGGAGGAAGGGAGUAAAGUUAAGACCUUUGCUCAUUGACGUUACCCGCAGAAGAAGCACCGGCUAACUCCGU